rnacentral:rRNA from 1 species
AUCUACCAAAAGGACUGGGACAACCACUGGAAACGGUGGCUAAUACCGGAUGAGCCGCAACGUAAAAAGGGAAACCUGCCUUUUGAAGAGCUCGCGUCUGAUUAGCUAGUUGGUAGGGUAAAAGCCUACCAAGGCAUCGAUCAGUAGCUGGUCUGAGAGGAUGACCAGCCACACUGGGACUGAGACACGGCCCAGACUCCUACGGGAGGCAGCAGUGGGGAAUUUUCCGCAAUGGGCGAAAGCCUGACGGAGCAAGACCGCGUGAGGGAAGAAGGCUUUUGGGUCGUAAACCUCUUUUAUCAGGGAAGAAAAAAAUGACGGUACCUGAAGAAUCAGCCUCGGCUAACUCCGUGCCAGCAGCCGCGGUAAUACGGAGGAGGCAAGCGUUAUCCGGAAUUAUUGGGCGUAAAGCGUCCGCAGGUGGCUUAUCAAGUCUGCUGUCAAAGAGUGGGGCUUAACCCCAUUAAGGCAGUGGAAACUGAGAAGCUAGAGUGCCGUAGGGGUAGAGGGAAUUCCCGGUGUAGCGGUGAAAUGCGUAGAGAUCGGGAAGAACAUCGGUGGCGAAAGCGCUCUACUGGACGGCAACUGACACUCAGGGACGAAAGCUAGGGGAGCGA